AGAGAGAGAGAGAGAGAGAGAGAUGGGAUUUAACCUCCACUCGCCACAGUUUAGGUCAUUUUAGGUCUACUAAUAUAUUAUGGUUCAAUUUCUAUUUCAAAAUUCACCGGCAUUCUACAAGGGCCAUAACUCUAGAAGUAAUUAAUGGAAAGGGGGGCAAUUUGCCCAUUAAUAGAUGAAAUAACAAUGGAGAGAGAUAGAAUGGAAGCGGGGAGAGUUUAUUUUUAGGCCAACUGGGGAGGAAGAUAAUUCCCACACGCUGGGAUAGACACUAUAAGGGGAUUUGGCAAAAAGGAUUGGGUUUGGGGUAAAACCAUUGAGAAACUUACCUUACUAGAUGCCAUAUCACUAACAGACCGGUGUGUUUGUAUCGUCUCAAGCUGAUCCAAGCACCAAUCAAGUUCUUCAAGAGUUUCCAUCGCUAGUUUAUGG